rnacentral:rRNA from 1 species
CGGCGAGUGAAGCGGCAACAGCUCAAAUUUGAAAUCUGGUCCCCAGGGCCCGAGUUGUAAUUUGCAGAGGAUGCUUUUGGCGAGGCGCCUUCCGAGUUCCCUGGAACGGGACGCCAUAGAGGGUGAGAGCCCCGUCUGGUUGGAUGCCGAGCCUCUGUAAAGCUCCUUCGACGAGUCGAGUAGUUUGGGAAUGCUGCUCUAAAUGGGAGGUAUAUGUCUUCUAAAGCUAAAUACCGGCCAGAGACCGAUAGCGCACAAGUAGAGUGAUCGAAAGAUGAAAAGCACUUUGAAAAGAGGGUUAAAUAGUACGUGAAAUUGUUGAAAGGGAAGCGCUUAUGACCAGACUUGGGCCCGGUGAAUCAUCCAGCGUUCUCGCUGGUGCACUUCGCCGGGCUCAGGCCAGCAUCAGUUUGUCCCGGGGGAUAAAGGCUCUGGGAAUGUGGCUCCUCCGGGAGUGUUAUAGCCCGCUGCGCAAUACCCUGGGGCGGACUGAGGUUCGCGCAUCUGCAAGGAUGCUGGCGUAAUGGUCAUCAGCGACCCGUCUUGAAACACGGACCAAGGAGUCGUCUUCGUAUGCGAGUGUUCGGGUGUAAAACCCCUACGCGUAAUGAAAGUGAACGCAGGUGAGAGCUUCGGCGCAUCAUCGACCGAUCCUGAUGUUCUCGGAUGGAUUUGAGUAAGAGCAUACGGGGCCGGACCCGAAAGAAGGUGAACUAUGCCUGUAUAGGGUGAAGCCAGAGGAAACUCUGGUGGAGGCUCGCAGCGGUUCUGACGUGCAAAUCGAUCGUCAAAUAUGGGC